rnacentral:ncRNA from 1 species
AGUUCGGGCGGGCGCGGGGUCAACCACCGGUAAGUACCGGGGGUGGAAAGUACCCUUCCAAACCCCCUCCGUCCCCCGCCCCCGAAGCUCACCCCAAAGCUUGACACCGCAAAAGUGCCCUGCCCUAUGCUCGCGCCACCACACAAAAAGUCGGCCCCCGCCGGGACACGCAAUCCCGAACGAGGGCCUGACCACCUAGGAAGACUUGACCCUUCCCG